rnacentral:rRNA from 1 species
CCCAGACUCCUACGGGAGGCAGCAGUGGGGGAUAUUGCACAAUGGGGGGAACCCUGAUGCAGCGACGCCGCGUGGGUGAAGGAGCGUUUCGGCGCGUAAAGCCCUAUCGGCAGGGAAGAAGGAGGACGGUACCUGACUAAGAAGCCCCGGCUAACUACGUGCCAGCAGCCGCGGUAAUACGUAGGGGGCAAGCGUUAUCCGGAUUUACUGGGUGUAAAGGGGGCGCAGACGGCAGCGCAAGCCAGGAGUGAAAGCCCGGGGCCCAACCCCGGGACUGCUCUUGGAACUGCGCGGCUGGAGUGCAGGAGGGGCAGGCGGAAUUCCUGGUGUAGCGGUGAAAUGCGUAGAUAUCAGGAGGAACACCGGUGGCGAAGGCGGCCUGCUGGACUGCAACUGACGUUGAGGCCCGAAAGCGUGGGGAGCAAACAGGAUUAGAUACCCCCGUAAG